rnacentral:misc_RNA from 1 species
GAAAUGCGAUAAGUAAUGUGAAUUGCAGAAUUCAGUGAAUCAUCGAAUCUUUGAACGCACCUUGCGCUCCUUGGUAUUCCUUGGAGCAUGCCUGUUUGAGUAUCAUGAAAUCUUCAAAGUAAAUCUUUUGUUAACUCAAUUGGUUUCUACUUUGGUAUUGGAGGUCUUUGCAGCUUCACACCUGCUCCUCUUUGUUCAUUAGCUGGAUCUCAGUGUUAUGCUUGGUUCCACUCGGCGUGAUAAGUUAUCUAUCGCUGAGGACACUGUAAAAGGUGGCCAAGGUAAAUGCAGAUGAACCGUUUCUAAUAGUCCAUUGACUUGGACAAUACUUUUAUGAUCUGAUCUCAAAUCAGGUAGGACUACCCGCUGAACUUAAGC